CGGGGAGUAGCUCAGCCGGUAGAGCACCCACGAUUCAAUUGGGCGGCCGCGGGUUCGAUUCCUGCCUCCUCGG
rnacentral:tRNA from 1 species